AUAAAUCACAAUGCGGAACAUCUGUUUUGCAAUUGGAUUGAGAACAACGCACAACACUUAUCGAUAAACAAUUGGAGGGCAAGUCUGGUGCCAGCAGCCGCGGUAAUUCCAGCUCCAAUAUCGUAUAUUAACGUUGUUGCAGUUAAAAAGCUCGUAGUUGAAGUGAAGUGUGGAAGUUUGGCAUUUUCGUUUGAAUUUGCUUCUCUUCUAUACUCUUUCCCAAUAGUUUGCAUGGGGUAUUCAAUUUAUCUGUGUAUUGCAUUUGGUCAUUUACUGUGAGAAAAUUAGAGUGUUCAAAGCAUACGUUUGUUUGAAUACAUUAGCAUGGAAUAAUUCGAAAAGGCUUUCAUGUUCGAUUUGAUUGGUUUGUUCGUGAAGGCAAGAUUAAAAGGGACAGUUGGGGGUAUUCAUAUUCAAUAGUCA
rnacentral:rRNA from 1 species